AUUGAACGCUGGCGGCAGGCCUAACACAUGCAAGUCGAGCGAGCGGCGGACGGGUGAGUAAUGUAUGGGGAUCUGCCCGAUAGAGGGGGAUAACUACUGGAAACGGUAGCUAAUACCGCAUACUAUCGGAUGAACCCAUAUGGGAUUAGCUAGUAGGUGGGGUAAAGGCUCACCUAGGCGACGAUCUCUAGCUGGUCUGAGAGGAUGACCAGCCACACUGGAACUGAGACACGGUCCAGACUCCUACGGGAGGCAGCAGUGGGGAAUAUUGCACAAUGGGGGCAAGCCUGAUGCAGCCAUGCCGCGUGUAUGAAGAAGGCCUUAGGGUUGUAAAGUACUUUCAGCGGGGAGGCGUUACUCGCAGAAGAAGCACCGGCUAACUCCGUGCCAGCAGCCGCGGUAAUUC
rnacentral:rRNA from 1 species